GGAAUUCAUGGAAAGGACCAGCAAAUUUAUAAACCUGGAAUCUGUUCUGGUAGGGAAUGAGGAGGACGAUUCUAGAGAGAUCCCUCCAUGAAUGAUUGUUUUUACGAAUUUUCUGUAACUAUUGCGGAAGGGGCAUUCUUGCCGGAAUUCAUUCUAUAAGUUUAGUUAGGAUUCUUCUAUAGAGUCCUUCGAGAUUUUUUUUUAGAAUGUAUUCCGUCCCAUUAGAAUUUCCUCCAUGAUUAUCUCCAGCACCAUCGCAAGAAAUUUCUUUUAGAUAUUUUUUUAAAAAUAUUCAAAAUUAAAAUUUUCAGAAUUUUUGUAGAAAGAAGAUUGUUGCAGUAUUUCCUAGAAUUAUUUUAACGUGAAUUCCUUCAAAAAUCCUCCAGGUUACCCUUCUUAAUGCAUUCAUGUGUAUGUAUUUCUAUGAGCAAUUCACCAGGAAUUCCUCUAGAUAUUCUUUCAGUACUUUCUUGAGUAUUUUUCAAGAAUUUCUCAAAAAAAUGAUCUUGAUUAGUCCAUGGGUUUCUUCAGAAAUUCCUUCUGGGAUUUUUUCAGGGAUUCCUCCGGGGAUGCUACAGAAAAUUCCUUCAAGAAUUGCUCAAGAAAUUAAUGAAUGAAUUAAUCCAUGGAUUACUUCGAUCAUUUCUGAAUGAAUUAUAAUUUUCUCCAGGAGUUUUUUUGAGACUUUGAGACUUACAGAAUUCUUCAAGGAAAUUCUCAAAAAAAAAAACUCUUCAGGAGUUUCUCCGGGAACCCUUUCAAAGAAUUUUUCGAAGGAUACAAUUCCAGGAGAAUUUAUUUACAGCUGAAUCUACAGAAAUUCUUCUUGGGUUUUCAUUUCGGAAUUCAUUUUUUUAUUCUAGAAACAAUUUCAGAAAUAAUUUUAGAUUUUUAAGAAUUUUUGCAGAGGUCUUCCAUAUAUUUAGGAAUUCUUUCAGUCACUUCAUUCGGAAAUUAUUCAUUAAAACUUUCAACAGAUUCUUGCAGCUGUUUCCCCAUGAAUUACUCUAGAUAUUUCUCAAAGGAUUGUCUAGCAUUUAUUCAAUGAAUAACUGCAGAUGAUUUUUCUCAGAAUAGGAUUAUUGCGUAUUAAUACCUAUAGAAAUUGUAUAAGAAACACUUCUGAGAAUUUCUCCAAAGAUAUCUCUAUUAGUUCCUUCAAAAAACCCUGCAGGGGUCCCUCAAAAAAUCAUUGAUGUAUUUCUAUAGGAAUUUCACUAAUACCUUUGACUGCAAUUUAUGUAGAGAUUCCUGCAGACAUUUUUAAUAGAUUUCUUCAGAAACACUUCAAUGGAAUUCUCAAGGAGUUUUCCAUGGAAUUACUUUGCGAGUUGCUUCAGAAGUUUCGUUCAAUCAAGUUUUCUGCCAGACAGUCAUCCACGAGGUAUCAAUAGGAUUUUCUGUAUAAACUCCUUCAGGAAUCUGUGGAGGAAUUGCUACUUGAACCACUCGAAGUAAUAAAGCAAGAAUCUCGGAAGGAAUUCCUGCAGAAUGUCUUGGAUGAUUCCCUGAAGAAAUUCUUGGGGACACAAUCCUGCGAAAAUUUUCAAUGGAAUCCCUUUUCAAAUCAAUUCCUGAACAAAUCCCUGUUGGAUUUAUUUAACAAUAUUUGCAGGAAUCCCUGUACAAUUUUGUGUAGAGACCAACUAUAGGAAUCUGUGGCGGAGUUUCAAAACGAAUUCUUGGCGAAAUUUCUAGAGAAAUUCCGAGAGCGGAUUCCUCAAGGAAACCAUGGGGAAAUUUCUAGAACAAGUUUUUAAUAAACUGCGGAAUUCGUGGAGCGGGAAAAUCAUUGGAGAAAUAUUGUUGGAGUGAUCUCAAACUUUCUGAAAAAAUCACUGGAAGCUUUUCUGAAGGAAACUGUAGAUCAUUGUCUGAAAGAAUCUUUUGAUGAAUUUCUGGGGAAACCCAUGGAGCUUUUCUAGAGGAACUGUUGGAGAAAAUCCAAAACAAAUCUAGGAAUUCUAAAAUCAAGAAAAUCUGUAAGAGUUUGGGAAGCAAUACAUGGAACAAGCACUAAAAGAUCAUUCAAAAGGAAUCCGUGGAAGAUCUUUUGAAAAACAUUCCAGGAGGACUAUCUAAAGAAAUUCGUGGAGCAAUUUUGGAAGAAAUAUGAAACUUAUUUCUACUCCAGCAAUAUUGGGAGAAAAUUCCACGGAAAACUAUUGUUUUCUAAAGCAAAGCCUGGAACAAUACCUGAAGUAAUUCUCAGACAAAUCUUGGAAGGAAUGCCUGGCAGAAUUUCGUGGAAAUUCCAUGAAGAUUUUCGGAAGGAAUGGAUGGAGGAAUCUGUAGAGGAAUUUCUGAAGAUAUUCAUGAACAAUUCUCUAAAUUAUUCCUAAAAUAAUUUUCUUGAGAAAUUUCUCAAAAUUUUUUUAAGACAUCCAUGCUAGAUAAACCUUUGAUGGGAAGUUUUGGAGGAACAGCUGGCGAAUUAUCUUAACUAUUCCCAAAAUCUAAAGGAACCCCUGAAGAAAAUUGCCAAAUAAAAUUGUUGAUGGAUUUUUUAAAAUCCCGAAGAUUUUCUGAGGCAAUUUUUGGGGCUACCUCUGAAAAAAAAAAAUCUAAAAAAUCCCGGCAUGAAUUUCUAAAUGUACUCCGGAAAUAUUUAUUUUAUUUUGAGGAAAUUCUGAAAAAAUGGAAGAAGUUCCACUAUCACAUAGUUGAUUUGAAAGCGUGAGAACACUAAAAAUUUGGAAAACUCCCAAAAAUAAGUUUAUAAAUAAUAAAUAUAUAAGGGUGCAAAAAAUAUAGGCGAUUUACUUGCAUUUAGGAAGAGAGAGAGAGAGAGUAAUUUCAACUAUCAUAAAUGAGGCUUUCCGUACACGACUAUGAUGCAGUUUUGGAAUUAAUCUUUAUCAGAAAUUUCUUUGGGGAUACUUUUGACAAUUUCUUGAAUAUUCAGUAGUGCCCAAAAAAAUGUUCGUCAAUUUCUUUGGAAAUUUUGUUAAUAUUGUUUCGGCGAAUUUUCUAUGAAUUUUUUUGGCAACUAAAUGAGAAUUUAUGAAUUGGUUCGGCAUUCAUUUAUUUGAUAGUUUUCGCUAAUUCCAUUAUAAAUUCUGCCAGUUAUUUCUUUAGUAAUGCCCUUGAGAAUUCUUUUAAAAAUUUGUUAAGAAAUUGCUUUGGAAAAUAUAUUUGCCGAAUAAACUUCCAAUUCUUGUAGAUGUAGAUCACAAAUAAAAACGAUGAAAUUUCAGAAACACUUCUCGAAUUUUCAAAGAACUUUAUAUAAGACUUGUCAAAGGAAUUCUUUUGAGAAUUCUCAAAAAAGAUUCCAACAGAAUUGUCAAAAAAAUAAAAGAAAUUUCCGCGACAAUGCGCAAAAAAUAUCUGAAUGAAAGUUUUAAGAAUAUGACAAAAACCAUAAAUGAUUUGCUUGCUUAGAGCAAUUUCCAAAGGGAUUACCCAACGUUUUUCCAAGGGCAAUGUAUGAGAAACUCCAAAAAGAAUUGCUGAAGAUUUCCUCAAAAGAAUUACCGAAGAAAUUAACGAAGAAGUCGUCAAGAGAAAUUCCAAAACUAUUUCCCAACGAAUGGCCAAAUAAGUUCUGAAACAAUGGAUCACUGAAAUUAUUAAAACGGUCGCUAUAGAAUGAACAGAUAGUGCCACCGUAGCGUUAUGUUUGACAUAACUCAACUGCUGUCGCAAUGCUAAUGUCCAUGCUAUCUUUGUUUACAUGCGGCGAAUGCUAGAAAGUUUUCUUCAAUGUCCAUUGCAGACGAUUUUUUCAAAAAAAAAAUCCUCAAUAAUCUCAAAUAUAUUUGCCAGAAAAAUAUGUUCAAAGUAUUCCUGAGUCUUCAAAGAAAUCGCCGAAAAAUUCUUCAAACAAAUUGCCAACGGAAUGCCGAAAGGCAUUAUUGUAUGGAUUUCCAAAACGAUUACAGAAAACAUGCCCAAAAAAUAAACAGAAGGAAUUCAGAAGGAAAUGUUGAAGAAAUUUUCUUAGAAUUUGAUGGAGACGAUUACUGAAGGAAUGUUCAAGGAUUGUCGGAGGAAAUGCCAGGUAUAUUCCAGAAAAUAAUACCAAAGCUUAUCUAGGCGUAUAUCCUAGUAAUCCUGUAGCAAUAGCUUCAAAAAUCCGCCCACAGAUUGCUUCAGGAAAACUUGCAGAAACUCCUCCAAGAUGUUAUAUGAAACUUUCUAUAAAUGAAUCCUUAAAUUCUCAAUAAACGUUUAUUGGAAUUCCACCGUGGUGCUUCAAUCAAAAUUAUGAGAAAUUACUGUUGGGAUUCCUUCAAGAAUGUCCUUGGGAUGUCUUCAGAUAUCUCUCUCUAGAUAUUUGUUCGAGAGUAAUUCCUGAGAUUUCUACAGGUAUUCCACUGGAGAUUUAUUCAGAAAUUCUAGGAUUUCUUUUGAAAUAUUCUCAGGAUUUUCUUCAGAUUUUCAGUGAAGAAUUGCAUCAAAAGUUUUUCCAUGGAGUUUCCAGAAAAAGCUCUAAAUAUUCCUUCAAAAAUCCUACAGAGAUUCCUUGGAAAAUACUUCCAAUGGUUCCGAUAAGACUUUUGUGAGAAUCCUACUCAAGGAUUGCUGCGGAAAUUCCUACAAUGAUAUUUUUUUUUAGAAAUUGCUCCUGCGAUUCCGUCAUAACCAUCUCCUGGUAGGUUUUUACAGAUUUAUGUGAAAUUUGUUAAGGAUUUUCGUCCAGCGAUUUUAUCAGAAGUUUUUCAAGAAAUUGCAAAACCCAUUAUUGAAAAAAAAUCUUGAAAGAAUUUCUGAAGAAAUUUCUACAUAACUCCUUGGAGGGUUUUCUGAAGGAAUCCCAUAAAAACCCCUGGUGAUAUUGUUGGGGAUUCCUAGAAAAAUUUCUUGAGAAUUCUGUGGAGAGAUUUCUGAAUAAAAAAUCUGAAGUUAUCUCUGGAGGAAUGAAACUUCUUUCCUCUUUUUUUCUAGAAAAAAUAAACAAGAGAAACUAGUUGAGGAAGUAAUUCCAAUAAAAAAUUGGUGGAAAACUUUUGGAUGAGAAAUCCGUAGAGGAAUUUCUGAAGGAAUCUCAUAAAAAGGAAUGCUGAAAUAUUUGCAGAAAUCCUUCCAGAGAUUACUGAAAAUAUAUAUUGUUUUUGAAGAAAUUUUCGAAAGAAUGCCUAAAAAACCGGAGAAUACUCUACAAAUAUUCAUAAAAGAAUUUGUUAAACAAUUCCAUGCAAUAGAUUCUGGAAUAAUUUUGCAGGAAUUGCUGAGAAAAGUCUUUAUUGAAAUUUCUGAAAAAAUCAGCAAUAAAACUUCUGAAAAAAAACUAAAUUCCAAUCGAAUAAUAACAUUUUCUGUUCUACAUGUGAUUUUUUGCAGCUAUCAUGAGAAAUACUUCACUUGAACAAUAGAUGGAAUUGUUUCCAGGCAGUUGUGCAUUUGAAAAUUUUAGAAAUCGUAGGUUAUGUCUCCAGUUUUGCAUUCAAUUCAGUUUCAGUUCAAUUGGGAUUAGUUUACAAGAGAAGGCCUGCUUCUUGAAUCGAGACUUGAAUUUAAGAAAGAUUUUGAAUAAGAAGAUGCUCAUCAUUAUUUUUUUUUCAUAAGUUUGAAGAAUUCCCAUCUAGUGAAACAAGUUAAGGAUCAUAGAAACUGCAUUGUUAGCAGGAAAUCGCUCGUUAAGCAUUCCGAAAGCAUUAAACAGCUCAUAAUAAGUUUCAAAAAUGGCUUGUUGAAACGCAUCCAUGAAAGCGGCGGCAAAGUGUUGAAUCCGUCGAAAGUCGAAUGAAUGACUUGCUUUCGCACAGUUCGCGCGCUCUCUGGCGUGCCAUUCAGUGAAACUUCAGCACCGCCGCCGCCACCAGACAACAAAGGAAGGACCCGAAACUUUUCCAACUGGAACAACUAUUUCCAGCGUCAGAAAUUCCCGGAACUUUUCCUCCCAGUCAGUAGUGCGCCACCGGCUGACUCCCAUCCCGAAGUAAAGGGCAAUUUUCAUUAAAGAAAUACUUCCUGUGCCACCACCAUGCACGUGCUUCUCUUGGUUUGACUAUGUUUGCAGCACGGCUGGGCUCUCCUGCAGGAAGAGCUUCCUCAUGGUCACACAUUGCUCGCAACUGCAGUAGAAUUUGGGCGAAAAUAUUAUUACACUGUUGUCGGUCGAUUCACCCCUUGUUCCGGUUUUCGGAUUGCGAUGACGAUGACGUGUGUGUCGCACAUUUGGAUCCUUCUAUAUUGCCAAACCCUGUAUCUGAAAACGUACUGUCUAAUGGUGAUGGCCAACAAGGACGUGCUUUUCCCAUUCUACCAUCAUCGCCAUCAACGCAGCGCAACGGUUUGGUGUGAAAGCGUGAGAAUGUGUGGACAUUUUUAACGUCGACUGAGUGCUUUUGCUAAGGAUUCGCAACCAUGGUUUCGAUGACAGUCAGCGCACGGUGUAGGAAAACCGUGAAAUAUCGAGCGUGUAUGUCGGCAGCCAAUGCAUGUGGAAAAAUCCACUGACGAAGCGAAAUGUGAUCUGGAAAAAUGCGUAUGAAAGCAUAACUUCAUCGUCGCCUCCGUAAUGGAAUCAUCGUUGAAAAAUGCGCUGAGCUUCUGGGUAAGAUGACAAAAUGGAUAAUCUGGAGGAAUGUGUUUUCUGCUUUGCAUCAAUAGCACGGUAAUCUCCAUUCUUUUUAAAGCAUAUAUUCAACCUGUAUAUAGGAUAUACUACAAAUCUGAAACAUAUUAAUAUAUUUUAUGCUAUUCAGUAUCAUAAUUUCAAUUUCAUAUAACUCAUUUUGGUAUCAUAAUGGCUAAGUUUUCUGAACUGGUUCAUUAUGCAACUGAAAUGAGUUGCAUAAUGAAAAUUGGUUGCAUAAUGUCCAUAAUGCAACUCAUUUGAGUUGCAUUAUGAACAUUAUGCAACCCAAAUGAGUUGUAUAAUGAAAAAAAUCAUUGCAUAUAAAAUUUUGUCUGUAAUUCGUUGCAAAACUCGAUUUUUUCAGCACUCUUCGUAUUUAUCCAACUCGGCAAGCCUCGUUGAAUAAGUGUACGACUCGUGCAGAAAAAAUCAACCUUUUGCAACUCGUUACAUAAAUAACUAUUGUUUGGCAUCAAGUAACUGUUUUGGCGGUAUAGUCCCAGACCACUGUUAUGAGAAAGCUGUCCUGACCACGUCCUUGCCACAGCUAAGGGAUGUAAGAAGAUUAGAUGGACACCUAAGAGAGGUAUGUAGACACUUCUACGUCUUCUCAGGCCUAGGUGCCACGGGAAUGUGGGUGUUAUUAGUGGAAGAGUUAAGUCCAAAGGAUACAUUUGGUCAACGUUCAGGCACCAAAACGAUGUACAAGAACACACUCACCAAGUAACACGAAUUCCAGUACUCUCAAGACGAAAUUGUUGACUUCCAUUUGCCACACGGAAAUCACGCGAAAAUGAAGACAAACACUCACAAAAAACACUACGUGAUCCGGUAAAUCGUCAGGUAAGAGAAAUAUAACACUCAAAAUCAAUUGGCAAGCACUUUUUGAGGUAAAAUUUGCGCAAGGUUAUAGCGCUACCAGCCGUUUCUCAAUUCGCCGGAGCAAAGAAAACGCGUGACAACACCGCCACUCGCGCGCACAGUAUGCUACGAUCUCUAUUUCACUGACAAUUACAUACACAUACUGUGCGCGACGGAACCCGAGGCGUUCAGUACCACCCUUACAUCCACUGAACGUGAUACUCGGGACAUAGUGGAAACCAAUGCUGUCAACUAAUUUGACGUUCUUCUUUUUGUAAAACCUAUCUAAAUCUAAACGUACACGAUACAAAGUGACAUUGAACACGUUAAAACUUACAUAUAUCUAAAUUUUUGAAAUUGUGUUUUCUCUAUUUCUUAUGCAAAAAUUGUAAGUAGAAUUGAAUUAUAUUGAAUUUUGUGAACUAAACAUAAAUAUCUACAGGACAAAACAAAACACCGAACAAACAUUGUUACAAAGACGGAAACUAGACGAAGAAAAACUAAAACUGUAAGGUAACCGUAAAUUAUAAACUAAAACAUGCGUUUAAUAAAAAUCUUUGUAGCUUGUAGCUGACUCAACUAAAAAGCGAGUUUGUCUGAAGAGGUUUUCGACGUCCGUCCCGUAACACAUACAUUAAAUGGAUUACUAUUGUCCCUUCCAACAUACGACCAUAUCAAUCAAAUCAACCAAUGAAACAUGUUCAUCAUACAUUCUUCUAGGGGAUUCCUCCAGUAAACCUUGUGGGUAUUAUCCUAGAAACAUUUUUUGAGAACUACUCCAUGAAUGCCUUUUGUGGAUUCCGACAGAUUCCUUUAUUGAAUCUUAAGACUUUUAUUUAGAGGUUCCCGGUGUUUCGUCUGGAAUAGCUUCGAGAAUAUUUUUUGGAGGUUAUUGCAGAAGUCUGAUCAAGGGAUUUCUCCAAGAACUUCUAGAGGAUUUCUAGAUAGAUCUCCUUGAUCUCUGGUAUAUUCACAAAAAUAAGGAGAAUUUCCAAAAAAAAAGAGCUCCUGGAAGAUUAUCAUAAUGAUCUAUUUAAGAUGUCUUCCAGAAGGGUCUUUCAGAACUGGUUUAAGUAUUCUCAGAAAGAACCUUUGGAGGACUCCAAGUAUGGGUCGCCUGUGGGAUUCCUAGAAGGAAAAUCUGUAGGAUUCUCUGAAAUUCUUCGAAGAAUCUUAACUAUUCUUGAGGAAAUCCAGCAGAAGUUCUAGUAGAAAUACAAGAAACUUCAGAUGGAAUCCCAGCAGUAUUUCCUGAAAGAAUGCCUGAAGAAAUUCUCUAAUUUAGAGACGAACCAGCCAAGGGCUGAAAGUCUCUGAAAUAAAGACAAAUCAAUCAAUCAAUCAACUUUCUAGCCCUCCUUUUGCAUUAAGGUCAUUUUUCACCCAAACCGGUCGUCAGCAAUCUGUUUCUACCGUAAUGCAACAGAAACUUCUGGAGGAACGUCAAAAUUUCUAAAGCAGUUUUCAGAGUAAUUUCAGGAAACAAUCUUGAAUGAAUUUCCGUAGGAACGUAGAUGCUAUCGACUGCUUCGAAUUCACAGGGGAUUUUUCGGCUUUCAGUCUGUUAAGCGAUUGAAACGAAAAUAUCUUUCUUACGCCCGACGUUUCAAUGGGCUAUGCCAUCUUUUUCAAGGGUUCUGUAAAGGUCAAUUGGCUUAGUUACAUGAAGAUACAAGAACAUACAAAAAACUACAGUCUUACAAGAAUAUUUUUUUCGUUUUUCGUCUGGAGGUUCAAUCUUUGCGUGAAAACUUGUCAACAUAAUCUGGUUCAUCAAUUUCCUAAAAUAUCACAAUCAAAAUCACGGUUUAACAAUUUGAACUACAUAAAACAGACAAAAACAGUUACUAACUAUUGGAUUUACUACACGAAACGGGAAGAAAACUGGACACUGGACUACACUAUCUUUCUUCGUCGUAAAACUAUGUACAUCUUGGAGGUUUGCCACAUCGUAAACACGGACGAGACGGUAAACAAACGAAGCGAUUGCGACGGUCUUAGUAAUAUUAAUGCAGGAAUUUUACACACACUCAAAACCAAAACAAACCGCACAGAUACACAGACAAUAGAUAACCAGACAAACCUGAAUGACAAUGACACACAAUAGCUUAUUUGACAUAACUUGCAUACAACCAUUAUUUCCUCCAUAACUUUCAUAGAAUGACUACAAAAUGACCGUUUAAAUGUACAUAGUUUUACGACGAAGAAAGAUAGUGUAGUCCAGUGUCCAGUUUUCUUCCCGUUUCGUGUAGUAAAUCCAAUAGAAAUUGAUGAACCAGAUUAUGUUGACAAGUUUUCACGCAAAGAUUGAACCUCCAGACGAAAAACGAAAAAUAUUCUUGUAAAACUGUAGUUUUUUGUAUGUUCUUGUAUCUUCAUGUAACUAAGCCAAUUGACCUUUACAGAACCCUUGAAAAAGAUGGCAUAGCCCAUUGAAACGUCGGGCGUAAGAAAGAUAUUUUCGUUUCAAUCGCUUUCCGUAGGAACUUGAAAGGGGUCUCCAGUUAGCCUAGUGGUGCCAAUCCGGAGACGGCAGGUUCGAUUUCCGUUCCUGUCGAGAAAAUUUUCUCAACUUCUGGGCAUAGAGUAUCAUUGUCCUUGCCCCACAAUAUACAAAGAAACCCCUUCAAUUAAUAACUGUGGAAGUGCUCAAAGAACACUAUGUCGAAGCGAGGCAGGCCAAGUCCCAGUGCGGACGUAGAGCCAUAAAGAAGAAGAAGAAUAGAAGAAGAAGAAGGAACUUGAAAACAUGAAAAUGGAUCAACUCCUGAUGGAAUUUUUAAAGGAACAUCUGAAUAAAACUCUAAAGAACUCCUGCAUAAAUACCGUAGGUUGGGAACUCUGUUAAGCAUCAAAACAAAAGUUUCUCAUCUCAUGGAGAAUCCCCAGUUCCAGAGGAACUUCUGAAGAUAUUUCAGCUGAAACAUCUAAAGAUUGUCUUAAUAUAAAUAUUCCAAUAUAUUCUCUAAAUAUCACCCUCUUCUUUACAGCCCAAUGAAAUUCUUUUGAAAAUUCUCUGAAAAUUUCUCAUUUCCAUGUAACUCACCUUAAAUUGCUCUAAAAACUUAUGAAAUUUGCUGAACGCCACCAAGAACCCACUUUGAAUCUUCUUGAAACCUUCAGAAACUCCAUGAAACCUUUUUGAAACAACCUGAAACUUCCUGGAACACUAGAUUGAACAGUUUGAACAGAUAUUUCAACAUAUUAGCUUGGACCCCCUUCGCUUUGAAGCCCCUCAAAUCCAAUGAAAACAAUCCGAAGUUUCAUGAAACUCCUUUAAAUCCCCUGAAACUUAAGUUUGAAAAGUAACAAAACCUACCUGACGCUCUCAUGAAACCGCUUGAUAUUUUCUGCAGCUCCUCAAACUCUCUUGAAACACUUCUGAAACUUCGCGAAGCUUCUUUCGACUCUUCCAAAAACGUCUAAAACCCGCAAAACCUGGCGCCUCUUCUAAACCCACCAGAGAAGCCCUUGGAACCUUCUUAAAAUCACUCUAAAACUCCCCUUCAAAGCUCGUUAACCCCUCGAACUUCUAAUUAGUUUUUCAAAAGGAACAUCCGUUAAGAUAUUCCAAUACAAUACAUAGGAAUUUUCCUGAAAACACCCUUCCUAUGAAGUCCCCUUAAAUACCUAUGGGCUGCAAAAAUGGUGAGACGCCAAAGAGCGUCCAAUAUACCUGUAGUCCUCACAAAUUCCUACCUCAUGCUUCCACUAGUGAAGCGAUGACAAGGACUGCCAGCUAAUAGUUGUAUGCUAAACCGGUAGUGCAGCCUGGGCACUGUUCUUACUUCAGCUAGAUUGCGGUGAUACGAUUCGAGCGUCUGUUCACCAAAGAUGUGCGUCUCAAACAGCGUCUGUUCUUGCAUCCAGCAGCUGCGUAUGAAAUGCUCCUCCACCGGAAGCUAUACCUAGUGGCAGUCCCAACACGGUGGAUAGGGGACCUAUUGUUUUGGAAGUUUAAAAACCAUAACAGAAACCGAAAUACCUCUGUAUCUAUAUCUAUAUUUUAUAUAUAAAAAUGCAGUAGCAUACGUGAGACCGCGCAUAACUUGCGAACGGAAGGACGGAUUUUGGUCGUUUUAGUUUUGUCCUGUUAGUUUUCACCCAAGGAAGGUUUUGAGACAAGAAAUAUGGAAAAAUUGAGAGUUUUUGAAAAUCGAUCUUCCAUACAUUUUGACCGGGGACUUGGUUUUGGCUAAAAACUUGAAACGUCAAAAAACACAGUAGGCAAGACAAAGUUUGCCGGGUACAGCUAGUUUUACCUAAAUUGCAUGAAAAAUUUGAACCCCAUUCAAACUUAACUUUGAAAACUAAUAAAACCCUGAAACACUGAACUCACUCGUGAAACCUUUUAACAAUUUUUGAAACUCCUGGGAUUCUAUUGGAACGCUUGAAAACCCCUGAAACCCUCUCUCCUUCUCGAAGCUCCUUUCGAUUCCUCUGAAAACCUAUGAAACCCGAUGAAAUCCCAUAAAACUCCCAAAUACUCCUUCAAGACCACCUGAAGUUUCCUGAAACGUCCCUAAAAUUUCUCGUAAUCCUUGAGACGCCUCUGAUACCCUCUCAAACCCUCUGAACCUUCCCGAGCAGAGUCUAACAACAAAAUGAUAGCAAAUCGAAAACUCGAUUUGUUUUCAGCAGUAAAUUGAUAUCACAUUUUUAUAUCAGAUUGUCUUGACUAAACUUGAUUACAAAUUUAGAUUUCGUUUUGCUGUCACUUCAAACUAUUAUAAAAAAUAAGUUGUUAAGGUAUUUCAAAACUUCUUAGCCAACCUUGUAUAAUAACUCUAAGAAUAUACUAUUAGUGUAAUUAUCUUAUGGCAUUUGGAAUUCCAUAUCAAUCGAAAAACCCCUAUAUUCAACGAAUUUCCAUUUUUUCUUACUGGUAGCAAAAAUAGUUUUCAAUUUGCAUCACUGAUAGUAGGAUUUGUUCUCAACAACAUUUUUCUGCUCUCAUUUUAGAUGUUUUAACCGUUAAAAUGACCAAAACGACAACAACCUGAGUUAUCAUAAUUUGCAAUAUCACAACAUCAAAAUUUGUUUUCAGUUUGCUGUCAGACUUUGCUCGGGUUGCUUGAAACCUCUCUAAAGCCCUCGAAAUUCUAGUCCUUCUGCGAAACACGCCUGAGAAACCUUCUGAAAUCCUUCUAAAACGACUAUGUUAGUCUUCCUUACAUUUUCUGGAACCCACUGUAACUUGAUCAAGAGCUUGAGCUUGAUUGACCACUCGUGGAUGCUACCCCAGUAUCGCUAGAUCAGUCAUACUCACACAAGGAACCAAUGAGAUAUCUGCCGGGAACUAGCAGGCAUAUUCAGCGUGUAAGCGCCUGCCACGUUAGGAGAAGGAAGUGAUGAUUGUAAUCGUUUGUAACCACAGCAGUCUAAAUAUACCUCUGCGUAUGCACACACUCAUGCGGAUAUCGGAGGAUAGGAUUAGCAGAGGGUUCACACAUUAGUUCGUGGAUGUAAUGUAGGCGUAAUGUGAAAGAUUGGCGAGUAACAAAUUUAAAGAUGUAAAAGUGAAUAAUCCACAAAACCCAGCGCAUGAACAGAAAACUUUUAAAAAUUAAAAAAAUAAAGUCAAAAAUGGCAACUUUUUGGACAGGAAUUGCUUUACCAUAAGACAUUGAGCGAUUACUGAUUACAUUUGUAAAUCAAAGGGCUAUCACUAUGGAUUUAUGCAUUGCAAAUGAUUAGGUUAGAAGUUUAACAACAACAUCAACUCAGCAUUCGAAAAUUGACUACAAAUCUAGGUUUCUAGUAUUAUUUUUGGUAGAUAUUUUUCAAGUAAUUGCGAGUAAUGGCAAUAAAGCCUAGGCUAUCGAGUCUGGAAUUCCCUAAGUCCCAUCCGAGGAGGACUUCAAUAGAGUGAUAUUAACUUUCUUUGCAAUGCCACUCCCAACGUUUAUGCCCAACUUAAAUAACAAGCAUUAUUUGGAGCGUUUGGUACGAGAUACUCCACUUCUAUGACUUAGUUGUGGAACUAAUAACGCUGGACAGUAGGCUUGGCCGCUUUAAAUCUUGCACUACAUCUCCGAUGUGCUGCAUCAAUACUAGUCACAAGAAAACUGACAUAGUCGAUUCUAUCAAUUUCCAGGAUUAUUUCAAUGAAUGACUGUGUAUGUAUACACUAGAUUACACUAGAACAAUCUCAGAAAAACGCACAAACUUCAAGAGAAAUACAUUUUUAGAACAUUCAUAUGAAACUUGUAUACAGGGUUUCACUCUGUCACUGGUGGUAAGGAUGGUAAGGAAAUCACUUGAGAAAUCACUGAUUUUGAUAGGCCGACUACGAUCCAAGUCAGCGUGCGCUCUAUUGAGUCACCAUCACUUUCCUUGUUCCAUCAGAACUGGACUGACUGUGAUGGUGUGUGGAUAUCACUGAUAGGGCAUCUUUAAAAUUUGUUUAAAAACCCAAUUGAAGAUUUACCAAGAUGGUUUUUCAAUAUGAUGUACAAAAUAAAAAGUUUUGCGUGUUGGUCACAAAAAAGUUUGAGUUUUGGCAAAAACCACUUUGUUCGCGCCAACGCGAAGAAGACCGCAUAUAUUUUGCCACAUUUUUCCCUACAAUAUGCCACGCCGUCCAUCCAACAGUUUCUUCCCGCCGAACAACAUGAUUGAUCAUGCCCGAAACCAUCAACCGUCCUCGUGAUCGUAUGUGCAACCAUCAUCAUCGACGCCCGAACCAAUCAGCUUCUUCUGUUCAAGGAAUUUUCCUCCGUCACCAAGAUCGUCUCCGUCAUGCAUCCUUUUCCUUUCAUCUCAUCUCCAUCGCUCGACGCCAGAGAUGGAAACACUCUCAUCGUGAAUCAACUCGCGAGUGUAAAAGCAACAAACGGUUUACUCACGGUGCCGAGAGUAAGCCGUGUGUGAGUUUAUUCGCACCCGCUUGCUUCACGAGUAUGAAGCAAAACAAAAACAAAAACACUCAUGAAUUUUUGUUCGCGAAGAACAAGUGGAGAUGCGGGAAUUGCAUUUUAGUGCGAUUUUAAUAGCAAAACAAGUAAUUAUCCAUCAGAUAGUAGUGAUUUGUGCUUUAUUGUUCCUGAAAAGUUAAUCUGUCGGCCGUGUAAAUUCGUUUUUUCACAAAAUUGAAAAAUGUUCAGAGCUGCUUCGCGAAUCAAUCACGAGUGCGACCAGCUUCGUUAGCUCGCGAGUGAAGGAAGUGCGAAUAUAUUCUGGCUUCUGUUGUUCGCGAGUAGGAUAGCUUUGCGUUUGUGUCUACUCAGCUGCAUUCCUCACUUUUUUCCAUCACU